rnacentral:lncRNA from 1 species
GGGAAAGGAAAAAUGAUGAGAAAUGGAAAAAAUGGAAAUAAAGUCUUUGUAAAUAGGGAAGGGUGGAGGGCAUGAAGGGAGGGCUAGGAAUGGGGAAAAAAUAAGAACCAAGAUGCAUCAUGUAAAGGUACAAUUCCCAAUGAGAAAUGUAAUUGUGUUGUAUACCUACAAUGUACCAAUAAAAGAAUUUAAUUUAAAAAAAAGAAAAAAAAAAGAACAUGGGCUCUGAGUCGAGCCUGGUGACACAGGCCUAUAAUCCCGCACUCUGGGAGGCUGAGGCAGGAGAAUCGAAAGUCCUAGCCCAGCUUGGGCAAUUUAGUGACUUUGCAAGACCCUGUCUCAAAAUUUUAAAAAUAAAUAAUUAAAAAGGGGCUAGAUGUGAAGGGGCUAGCUCAGUGUGAAGGCCCUGGGUUUAAUCCCUAUAUAUGUAUAUAUGCUCAGAAGGCUGGUGGUCCGGGUUCUAAUCUAGGCUCUGCCAUUUAUCAAUAAUGUAGCCUUGUCGUAGUUUCUCCAUCUGUAAAACAAGGUCAGCGAUGGGCCCUAACUCUUGGUGUUAUUGCAGUUCGGUAAUACAUGCCAAGCACUUAACACAGUGUCUGCUGCACAGAAGGGGAGAUCUUCCUCAUUAAAAGGCCGUGAAGUAUCCAUCUUCCCUAGAAAGCAGAAAUGCCCUUGAACUUCAUGAGAACAGCAGCCGUCUUCAGUUAUUGGAAAGGAAAAGGUUUUAUGUGGUGCUUCUGCUACUGAGCUCCAAAAGUAACCAUGAAAGAAAUCCCUCUGAGGAACAUUCUGUGGGCUUUUGCGUUGUCACCUUUAGGAGCUGGCAGGCUGACUCAGUUNNNNNNNNNNNNNNNNNNNNNNNNNNNNNNNNNNNNCUGCACCCAGACCAGCCCCCCAUACCCAGCAGACCCCUGUUGUGUUGCUGUCAACUCCAUUCAUGGACACACGUUUGCUGGCCAGACAGAUCCCUACAGCCCUGAGAAACGUCAGCCCCCGCCUAUUAAGGUUGACAAGGAAACCAACACAGAAGAUCUCUUCCCAGAAGAAGUGGCAAGCAUCCUGAAGGAGCGGCCCAGUCGCCGGGCCCGUGGUUCGCCUUUUGUUCGCAGUAGCACUAUUGUCCGUUCUCAGACCUUCUCGCCCGGAGCACGAAGCCAGUAUGUUUGCCGACUUUAUCGUAGUGACAGUGACAGUUCAACACUUCCCCGGAAGUCUCCCUUUGUCCGAAAUACUCUGGAAAGACGAACCCUUCGUUACAAACAGUCCUGCAGGUCCUCCCUGGCCGAGCUCAUGGCCCGCACCUCUCUGGACCUGGAGCUGGAUCUCCAGGCAUCAAGGACACGGCAGAGGCAGCUGAACGAGGAGAUCUGCGCCCUUCGUGAGCUGAGGCAGCGUUUGGAAGAUGCCCAGCUCCGAGGCCAGACCGACCUCCCACACUGGGUGCUCCGGGAUGAGCGAUUCCGCAGCCUGCUGAAGGAAGCAGAAAAGCAGACAAGACAGACCAAACUUGACUACCAUCAAGAGCAAGCAGCUGAGAAGAUGCUGAAGAAGGCCUCCAAAGAGAUCUACCAGCUGCGCGGGCAAAACCACAAAGAACCCAUCCAAGUGCAGACCUUUAGGGAGAAGAUAGCAUUUUUUACAAGACCAAGGAUUAACAUACCUCCUCUCCCAGCUGAUGAUGUUUGAUGUAGUGCAUUGUGCACAUGAAGUAUUUAUCUGCCUGUUUUAUUUUCAUGAAGUUCUUAGGUUAGCUAAAUUUGUCUUUUAAAAUAUUUGUGCAAAGCUAUUAAUAUACACAUUUUGUAAAGAAACGUAUAUCUAUACAUAUAUAUUUUAUAAUAGUGACAGCAACAGGGCUUGGUUUUUCCUUGUUGUGAAAUCGACAUCUCUGAAGACAGGUUAUUUUAUAAAAGAUCAACUAUCAUGUUAAGAGUGUACAGUUUUUACGCUGUUUUAUUUGACUUAAAGGCUGGAAGACAGAAACGAAGUGAGUUCAGGCAAAUUCACUGUAUUGUAAUUUAUUUAUAGUACUUUUUUUUCCUUGAAGGAAAAUACUGACUUUAAGAUGUAUUUUAAGACUGAAAUUUUGUUCUUCAGUAUUGUCAUGGAGUAGAAUGGGACUUGGGGCCGGUUUUGUUUCUGACACCCGAAACGCAAACACUAUGUACUAAAUUUGUCACUUGUAUCCGUUGCUCAUAGGCGCAUGUGUCAUGUAUAUCGUACACUCUCGCUCUCUUUGUGUCAUGUUAACACAUCAGCUGCAGUGGUUCAGUCCUGAUUCGUAAGCCGUGUGUGCGGUGCUGGGCUCAGUGUCCCAUGUGUACUGGGUACUGAUUCCUCUUCAUUACUGUGUUGUCGUCCAAUGCAUCUUUUUGUGCUUCCCACUAGUCUGAAGGCAGCAACAGCGCCUCCGGCGUCCCAGGUUUCAACCUGCCUGUCCACGGUAGCUGUCCACACUGCCUGCACUUGUCAGAUCGGAUGCAGCCCCAACUCUCUCGCAUGCUCCAUCUCAUCCUAAAGGAUGAGGUGCGGGUGGGCUCCUGCUUCCUGAAGGAAAGUAGAGAGGGAGCUCAGGGUGCACACUUGCAGUGUAGCCGAGGGUAAAGACAGCGUCACGGCAUAGACAUAACCUUGGAAGGUGCUUUUUUUGUGUGGAGAGGACACGCGGGUACCUUGAGUUACCCAGUGAGUCAUUUCUAGGAGAGUGUUUGCAUUAAAUCAGAAUGCCCCCCCAUACUGGAGUCUACCCAAGGUUCUUCACCAAAUCUUAGAACUAGCUCAUGAGGACAAAAAAUUAAUGUCACAAAAUAUGCCAUUAUUCUUUUAAAUGCCAAGUGAUAGCGAUCGUUUGCCUAGUACAUAUUUAUUACAUGUGAAAUGCACUCUCCUUUCUGAGACCUGGGAAGAGUGAACGAGGUAGUCACAGGAAAUGUCAAAGAAAACAGAACAUUCUUUUCCUCCAUCUUUCUUCCCCUCCCCUAGAAAUGUCCCUUUUAAUCAGGUCUUUCUUCUCAUCGAUCUGUAACCCCUCCCGGCCCCCAUAACCCACUUUCCUUUUUACAUUUAUUAAAAAUGAAUUUGGUAAAAGUGUUUCAUUGACAUGUGACCAAUCACAGACGAAAGAAUUUGUCAGUGGUGGUAAGACUGAAAACUUUAUGCUUUUCAUGGUUGUCAUCUCUUGCUAUGUAUUCCUGCUUCUAGUUUCGCUUUUAUUGCCCCCCUUUUUUUUUUGGCCAAUUCCUUUUUAUGCCAGCCCAUGGCAGCGGUAGAGCCCCAGAGCACCCAUCAGUUCUUAGGAGAGCUGCCAGUCUGCAGACAGCAGUGCUGAGCAGCCCCUCUCUCUGUGUCCCUAAGCUCUUGAGAGCUUAAAGUCUAACAAGAGACAUCUGCUGCUGGAUGCUGGGAUGUGUGCAGGGCAGAGCAUCCCAGUCUCACAUGCAUGGCUCCCUAGAUGCGGGACAGUGCCCUGGACACAGGGACCCUGCACCACUUUUUGCAGCUGCCCCAGGCAGCUCUCUCUGAGUGAGUUGGUAGCAUGAGGCAACUUUUCUGCCCACCCUAUUAAGUUUCAAACCCACUGUGCCAAUACCAAAAGGCCCCAGAUAACUUUUCUACUGUAACAGCCCAGGUUAUGCAGAUGUCCAGGUGGAGUGCUUCCCUCCCACCCCCGGGAGUUUUGUUUUUUAAAGACUCUCACCUUUGUCCUGAGAGAAAUAGCUGCAUCCCCUGCUGUGGUGUCAGUCCAAGGAACACCUGUGUCUGCCACCUUUCUGAGUCACCUCUCCCUUCCACUCCACCUGGGACUGCUUUUGCAGCUGAAUGGAACCCUAGCAAGGAAAGCAGAUCCAGACCAGUGAGAGAGAAGGGAGCAGUUCUGUGCAAUGCACAGCAUGGGUGGGAGGCUGCCCCGUAAGCUGGAGGACACAAAGCACCCUCUUUUGCUUCUCAUUCCUGACUGGGUGACUGCCAGCUAGUUACAACUGCCACACCUGGAAAACAUAUCUGCUCAGGGGGCACCUUCAUCUUCUGUGAACAUUUGUGCAUAUGCGGGGCCUUGCGAGAAAGGAAACUCUGCCAUGUUUUAUAAGCAGUUCUGGUCCAGAACUGAUGAGAAUUCUGCCACCUGGGUUUUUACAACAUGUAAAAGGGAAUUUGGUUUUUAUUUUUAUCUAAUCACUGCAUUGUCAGGCUUUGAUUGAUAAUCGCUGAAAUAAGUAACCUUCUGUUGUGGGAAUAAGUUAUAAUCAGUACUCAUCUCUGUUUUUGUCACUGUUUUCUCUGAUUGUGUCAUUUGUAUUGUUUGAAAAUAUUUCUUCUAUGAAAUUAAACUAACACCUUAAAACAAAGUGGAAGUGUGUGUGUGUGUGUGUGUGUGUGUGUGUGUUUUUAAAAAACCUUAUAAUUAUGGGGACUUGAAUGUAUAAAA